rnacentral:rRNA from 1 species
CCCAGACUCCUACGGGAGGCAGCAGUGGGGAAUAUUGCACAAUGGGGGAAACCCUGAUGCAGCGACGCCGCGUGGGCGAGGAAGUACCUCGGUAUGUAAAGCCCUAUCAGCAGGGAAGAAACAGGACAGUACCUGACUAAGAAGCCCCGGCUAACUACGUGCCAGCAGCCGCGGUAAUACGUAGGGGGCAAGCGUUAUCCGGAUUUACUGGGUGUAAAGGGAGCGUAGACGGCGAUGCAAGUCUGAAGUGAAAGGCGGGGGCCCAACCCCCGGACUGCUUUGGAAACUGUAUGGCUGGAGUGCAGGAGAGGUAAGUGUAAUUCCUAGUGUAGCGGUGAAAUGCGUAGAUAUUAGGAGGAACACCAGUGGCGAAGGCGGCUUACUGGACUGUAGCUGACGUUGAUGCUCGAAAUCGUGGGGAGCAAACAGGAUUAGAUCCCCGUGUA